GCAUUCUUUGAGCAAAAGUUUUAUCUUUUGGCUGAAUUCUUGGAUCAGAAUGUCCUUCUGUCACCCGUAUGUGCUAACUCAUGUGAUUUUUCACAUAUAAUGUAGGAAUCUGUGGCAACAGACGGUGGGCUACAUUUGCCAAAGCAAAAGAGUGAGAACUAUCUAAUCUUGUACAGCUGUGAAAAUUUUCAAGUCUGAUAGUUGACAAAGUGAAGAGCAGAACUCUUAAUGGGCAACAGGAGGGGAAGUGGAGUGUAGCCAAUGAAUGCAAAAUUGUCAUGGCUGCAUGUGUUGUCUGGGUAGUAUCCUCAAAAUCAGACCUUGAGCUAUGUUGGUUUAUUUGAUUUAAGCUUAUUUACUUUGAUUUUCAUACUUAAUUUUGCUAUUUGAUUUUUCGUCUGAUUUAUUCAUCAGUUAGUACGUGUGAUUUUAGUGUAGUUACUUUAGCAGUUCCCUUUUAAAUCUGCUUUUCUAGAAGUAGGUGUUAUUAACUGUAUGCUUCUGUAUUAUUCAUUCAAGUAGGGUUAUCAACUGUAUGCUUUUCCAUGUAUUAUCCAUUCGUGUGCAAGCAUGGAUACAUCUCUCACUAACCUUCUGCUCUCCAAACCCCUCCCUCAACCAUGAAAUAAGAGAGAAAAAUAGAACAUAUGAAAGGAUUGAUCAGUUCCUUCCGUCUGAAAGGUUGACUUGCAUGAUAUGCUACUAUGGUCAGAAUAGAUAUAUAUAUUUCUAACUCUAUAGUAAGUACCGGUCUCCAAGUCCUUUGUCAUCCAGGGUUAUGUUGGUAAUUUCAAUUUGAAACCCCUUGUAAAACCAAUAUAGGAAAGAUUCUGUUCUAAAUUGAUAUUAGUACACGCGUAUUUUCUUAUGAUACCUGUUUCACACUUCUCUUCCUUCAUAUCAAUAGUCAAUACUUUGUUGAGUCUGCUAAAGUCCCCCAUUUUCAUUUCCUUCUCUUACAUUUGUUUCUCCUUUGCUUAUGGUUUUCCUUUUAAGGUUGUUUUUGGAAAUUUUUUACUGUCAUGCUUUUUCAGUUCUCUUUGGUUUUCACUCUUUUUUACCACUAAGUCAGCUCUUGUUGUGCUGAAAUAAAGCCUUGACAAUCCCAAAUGCUACCCUACAAACAUCAAAUGCAAGCCAAACAAGUAAAUGCAACUCUUCACUCGCUGUUUGUGUUACCUUCUUACAUAACCUUCUGUUACAAGGCAUUCACAGUAGAAUCUUUAUGUGAAAUCAACUUGGUACAUACAAAGUUUGUUCUCCAGCUUAUAUACUGUAUGAACAAGAAUUGUUGGCAACUCUUUUUUACUUCAAAGCUUCAGUUGAUUUUGUAAUUUUAAUUUGAACAUUUGAUACGUCAAGAGUAAAUGCAACUGUAAUAAACAUGAUACCAGAAACUAUUCUUGGAAUGCAUAUCUUUGGUGUUGAGAAUAGGUCACACAACUUGAGUUAAUUAAAAUCUCCAUUUCUUUUUGCUACUUUCAACUUCUCUACAAAAGUAUUGUAACCACCAUUUCCCUUUUAGUGUCUUCAGGUUUUCUACAUAGCUCCUAAACAAGUGUGGUCAGUGUAGAGCUGUGUUUGCUUCUACAUUAUGACAAGGUAAUGCUAGUGUGCGGUGAGCGAGCAUGCUCUGUGUACAAUUAAGCAAAGAGUUGCUGAAGGUUGGAACGGAAUAUCGUAUGUAGUGUUGAAUGCAAUCUGAACCUCCUUUUACUUUCAGCCCUCAGCUUGGUUCUUCUUCCUCUUUCCUUUUUGUUCACAAUUUUUUCUUAUGUUUUUAUUAAUUUCGGUGUUAUUCAUUUUUGCUCUUUUUGGGUUUUUAAAACACCAACAGAGCUUCAAUAUUGCAAUUGAUCAUUGAGAUGUUGAAUUGUCUGCCUUUUAUUUUCAUUAAGGAGUUAAAAGUUUAAUUGUAUCAUUUGAAAUUGGGUUUUAAGAUAUCAAAUAAAGUUUGAUUUCAGGGAUGGACCAAACAAUUUGAAAGUUCCGGGUAUACAUGAAAAGAACUACAUAGAAGUUGCUUGAUGAGUGCCUCACACUGAGAGGUCAUGUUACAAUCAAUCGUCUGUCCAAUGGUGAGGAGCCAAAUUAUCUCUCUGCAAGUAUGGAAAUGAUACGUGGUACACCCGAUUCUUGACGAACUCGAGAGGCAAAGAGAAUGGUUGGGUGGCGAGGCAUCACUUCUUACAAGGUUUGAUGCUAUUUUAUUGGUUGGGUGGCAAGGCAUCACUUCUUACAAGGUUUGAUGCUAUUUUAUUGGUUGGGUGGCAAGGCAUCACUUCUUACAAGGUUUGAUGCUAUUUUAUUGGUUGGGUGGCAAGGCAUCACUUCUUACAAGGUUUGAUGCUAUUUUAUUGGUUGGGUGGCAAGGCAUCACUUCUUACAAGGUUUGAUGCUAUUUUAUUGGUUGGGUGGCAAGGCAUCACUUCUUACAAGGUUUGAUGCUAUUUUAUUGGUUGGGUGGCAAGGCAUCACUUCUUACAAGGUUUGAUGCUAUUUUAUUGGUUGGGUGGCAAGGCAUCACUUCUUACAAGGUUUGAUGCUAUUUUAUUGGUUGGGUGGCAAGGCAUCACUUCUUACAAGGUUUGAUGCUAUUUUAUUGGUUGGGUGGCAAGGCAUCACUUCUUACAAGGUUUGAUGCUAUUUUAUUGGUUGGGUGGCAAGGCAUCACUUCUUACAAGGUUUGAUGCUAUUUUAUUGGUUGGGUGGCAAGGCAUCACUUCUUACAAGGUUUGAUGCUAUUUUAUUGGUUGGGUGGCAAGGCAUCACUUCUUACAAGGUUUGAUGCUAUUUUAUUGGUUGGGUGGCGAGACAUCACUUCUUGCAAGGCGCUUUGUGAAAGAAUAUUUAACAAAGGAGGAGGUAUAACUGAAGAUAAUUAGACUACCAUACACUCAGGAGUUAAUUAGCUAUUCACCUGCAAAGGUAAGCAGUGCUAAAUUGCUAUUCAUUUCUUUAUUUCAGGUAUGUUUUCGAUGUGUCCAUAUAGUAUACAUACAUGUGCAUGCGUAGAUUACAGAAAUAAUUGAUUUACUCGUGAUAUAAAUAGUGAUAUAAGUCACCCGUGCGUAGAACGGGCACUGGUGAUGGGAAUGCAUUCGGGCGAUUCAUAGCAAGUUAAUUGAGAACUAUCUUCAGCUAUGCGCCAACAACAUUUUUGACAGAUUAAUCAUGGUAGGGAGCUCUGCUAAAGUCCUUUCAGAUAUUAAUCACAUUGCAAAUAUUUUCUCCCGAGGUUGAAAUCUAACUUCCAAAUGCAUACGCUUUCUCUUGUUGCUUUCUGUAACCGUUCUUUGAGCAAAACUUUAUCUUCAGGCUGAAAUCUUGGAUCAGAAUGUACUUGUGUCACCAGUAUGUGCUUUCCUCAUGUUAUUUUUCACAGAUAGAGGGUGGGCUAUAUUUGCCAAGGCAAAAGAGUGAGAACAAUCUAAUCUUGUACAACUGUGUGAAUUUUUUAGUCUGAUAAUUGACAAAAGUGAUAGA